AUACGGAGGAUGCGAGCGUUAUCCGGAUUUAUUGGGUUUAAAGGGUGCGCAGGCGGCGCGUUAAGUCAGCGGUGAAAUGCCCCGGCUCAACCGGGGAGCUGCCGUUGAUACUGGCGUGCUGGAGUGCGAACGGCGCCGGCGGAAUGUGCAAUGUAGCGGUGAAAUGCAUAGAUAUUGCACAGAACACCGAUCGCGAAGGCAGCUGGCGAGGACGCAACUGACGCUGAGGCACGAAGGCGUGGGGAUCGAACAGGAUUAGAUACCCUGGUAGUCCACGCAGUAAACGAUGAUGACUUGUUGUCGGCGAUAGAAUGUCGGUGACAAAGCGAAAGCGAUAAGUCAUCCACCUGGGGAGUACGAUCGCAAGGUUGAAACUCAAAUGAAUUGACGGGG
rnacentral:rRNA from 1 species